rnacentral:piRNA from 1 species
UAUGAGCUCAUCUUCCAUGGUGAUUACGU